UCAUAAUUGAUGCUCUGCAUUAUUAGUCAGAAAGAACAUCAUCUCCCUCCGGGUGUCACAGAGAUGACCCCGCCCGUAACCGUCUCUGACCCAGCUCCUGAGUGACGGGGCUGUGAGUGUGAGCAGGACUCUCUGCUCCCCUCCUUCCACACCCCACCGUCAGCCCAUGGACUCCCGGAGCAUCAGCUCUUCAUCCCGGUGGCUCUCCUGGCUGGGUGGAGUUCACGGAGCACGGUCCAGACAGGGCAGGGAACAUUUUUCUGAAGAAGAGCCCAGGGCACCGUGCUAUCACUGCUGACCAGGCAGCUUGCAGAGGAACAAAGGAAAGCACGUCGCGGUGGAGGAGUCAGGAGCGUGUAGAAGGGAGCCGGCUGGAAAAUGUGACACCGGCUCUGACUGAUGAACCACGCCCAGCUUGAGCUGCCAUGUUCUUUGACAAAUCUAUUCCAGAAAAAUAACACUUGUGGGUGACAAAAAAUACAAAUGAUUGUAGUGUAUUUUAUUGGCAGUGUUUGCGUAUUUUUGACAAUGCCUAAACCUUUCAUAAUAGUCAUUAGGAAAUAAUCAAAUUGACUGGCAGUAUAUAUCCCCUCCAAGAAGGAACUUAAAGAAACCAGAAAUCAUAGAAAUGCCUUGUGGGGUUUGUUUUGGCCCACAGGGACGGCUGUUACCUACAUGUUCCAUUUUCUGACAGGAUCAUCCAGCGAUGUGGAAGGAAACCGAAGAAUGAAGCCAGGAAGAAAAAGAUCAUAUGAGAGUCAAAUGGGGAGUGGAGGGGGAAAGAAGAGAGAGAGAGAGCCUGACUCAGCAGCCAAAGCCCUGGUUCAAGAUGCUAAUGUCUGUGCUCCUUCCUUUGAUUCUGUGACUAAGCCAUCACCCUUGUCAGCUAUGUGAGCCAAUAGCAUCCCUUGGUACAAGGCUUCUUUGAGAUGACUUCCUGCCACUUUCAACUGACAGAGUCUUAACCUGCAGACUGCUCUUGGCUUCUUCUGCAGCCGUGCUUCUGUGUAUCCAUAAAGCUGUCUGACGCUGCCCAUGAGAAGUAGGGUGAGGAAGUGCAGGACCUGGAUGGCCAACUCCAGGGGAUCCUUGGGUGUGAACGGAGCAGGCCAGAGAGACCUGAAACUACAGACUGAGGAAGAUCGAAAAAGGAGCAGCUGAAUUCGUUCUUCAGGUCUGAGGGAUGAUAAACAGGAAGCAAGUCAAAUGUUUGGAAGAUGCUUGAAUUAACAGUAUGAGAGAGGAAAGGACAGUGCCCAAAAUAAUUGUUCCAAAGAAAACUGAAGCUCAUUUUCCUUAGUCACUGGUUGUGUAGAGAUGAGUCAGCCUGGCUUGGAAGCACACAGUUGGGCGGAUGCAUUAGUCAGAGUCCUCUAGAGGAAGAGAAACAAUAGGAUAGACAGAGAGAGAGUUAUUGUAAGGAAUUGGCUCAUGUGAUUAUGGAGGCUGGGAAGUCCAAUAUCUGGUUUGGGCGAGCAGGCUGGAGACCCAGGAGAGCCGAUGGGACAGUUCCAGUCUGACGAUGAUCUCCUGGAGAAUUCCCUCUCGCUCAGGUAGGCUGGUCGUUUUGUUCUAUUCAGACCUUCAACCAGUUGGAUGAGGCCCACCCACGUUAUGGAAGGCAACUUCUUCCUCAAAGUCUACCAAUUUAGAUGUUAACCUCAUCCAAAAACACCCUCAAGUUGACACGUAAAAUUAACCAUCACAGUCCACCCCUUGUCAACCUGGCACCCGUGUGUAUUUCCUUAAACCAUACUUAACCUCCAAAUAAAGACACUAGCAAGGUUAUAAUCCUGCCUAAC
rnacentral:lncRNA from 1 species